rnacentral:lncRNA from 1 species
ACGUUGCUAGAGCAAAGAUGAACACAGCUUCCUUAAGGACCUCAGAAUCCAGACGGCAAGAAAGACUGUGCGCACGGUCUAUACUACCUUCUGCCACUCUCAGUUCCAAAAGCCGGUGGACAGUGCGCCACAUCAUUUUAAGAUCCGCAGAGAGG